rnacentral:rRNA from 1 species
GAUGAACGCUGGCGGCGUGCCUAAUACAUGCAAGUCGAGCGAACAGACGAGGAGCUUGCUCCUCUGACGUUAGCGGCGGACGGGUGAGAAACACGUGGAUAACCCACCUAUAAGACUGGGAUAACUUCGAGAAACCGGAGCAAAUAGCGGAGAAUAUAUUGAACCGCAGGGUUCAAUGGUGAGAGACGGUUUUGCUGUCACGAAUAGAUGGAUACGCGCUGCAUUAGCGAGUUGGUAAGUUCACGGCUUACGAAGGCAACGAUGCGUAGCCGACGGGAGGGGUGGCUCCCCGCCGCGGAGCUGGGACACGGUCCUGACUCCUACGGGAGGCAGCAGUAUGCAAUCUUCCGCAAUGGGCGAAAGCCUGGCGGAGCGACUCCGCGCGUGUGAUGAAGGUCUUCCGUUCGUAAUACCCUGUUAUUAGGUAAGAACAGAUGUCGACGUAGCUGUGCACUUCUUGACGGUACCUAGUCAGAAAGCCCCGGCUAACUACGUG